UACGUAGGGCGCAAGCGUUAUCCGGAAUUAUUGGGCAUAAAGAGCUUGUAGGCGGUCUGUCGCGUCUGCUGUGAAAAUCCGGGGCUCAACCCCGGACUUGCAGUGGGUACGGGCAGACUAGAGUGUGGUAGGGGAGACUGGAAUUCCUGGUGUAGCGGUGAAAUGCGCAGAUAUCAGGAGGAACACCGAUGGCGAAGGCAGGUCUCUGGGCCACUACUGACGCUGAGAAGCGAAAGCGUGGGGAGCGAACAGG
rnacentral:rRNA from 1 species